GAUGAACGCUGGCGGCGUGCCUAAUACAUGCAAGUCGAGCGAAGCGGGGACGGGUGAGUAACACGUGGAUAACCUCCUAUAAGACUGGGAUAACUUCGGGAAACCGGAGCUAACCCGGAUAAUUAUAGAUGGAUCCGCGCCGCAUUAGCUAGUUGGUAAGGUAACGGCUUACAAAGGAAACGAGGCGUAGCCGACCGGAGAGGGUGUGCUGCCACACUGGAACUGAGACACGGUCCAGACGCCUACGUGAGGCAGCAGUAGGGACUCUUCCGCAAUGGGCGAAAGCCUGACGGAGCAACGCCGCGUGAGUGAUGAAGGGUUUCGGAUCGUAAAACUCUGGUAUUAGUGAAGCGGUACCUAAUCAGAAAGCCACGGCUAACUACGUGCCAGCAGCCGCGGUAAUAC
rnacentral:rRNA from 1 species